rnacentral:tRNA from 1 species
GUGGGUGUAGCUCAGUAGUAGACUGCAUGCCUAGUAUGCACAAGGUCCUGGGUUCAACCCCCAGUACCUUCA